UUGCAUGGGAGACUCACUAUCUUGCAAGCAGCUGAACAGAAGCAGUAAAGCAUCACUAUCUCCACCUCACCUGGCCUGUGAGUGGCUCAUGCAGAAACAAGCUUGUGCAGAGGCGGCAUAAGAAGGGGAAUAGAGGAUUCCCAAGAUGCACAGGAAAAGGGUGCAAGCUUCAAGACCCAGUCCCCAAAGGGUCCUUCGUCUACCUGUGGACACGCAAUACCCGGAGAGGCUAUUAAGGGAAUCAAAGGGUAAUUUUUCCACAACCAGCCAAGUGUCUCACCCUGCAGGAAUCCUGUGCCUCUUGGAGGCUCCCAGAGGAAGAGCUUGGAAACAGUGCCCUCUGUGAGAUGAAGCCCUACUGUUUCAGACCAGGAAGGUCCUGCUGAUGCUGUUGCAGUCCUGCAGUUGACAAAUCCUCCAGUGUGCAAGCUUUUCUUUACUUUCCUUGCUGGCAGAGAUGCAGUCCAAGUGGCCCCUAUUUUAGGGGGAGAAGCAGACAUGGCAGAAAGAGAACACUGCUUUACAAAAAGGAGCAGUCAUUAUGUUAAAAUGCACAAAGGACAACUGCGAAAUUUUGUUUAGGGACCUAAAUUUCUCACCACUACACUGAUGGAGCAUAAAGGUUUAUAGGAACAGGGACCUGACCUAUGUGAACAGCUGCAAGAACAAAGGAUUCUGACACCAGGAAUUUUCAACAACGAACCACACCCCUCCAUCACCUUGCCUUUAAAAGUGCUUUGCUGAAACCCUUCAAAGCAGUCAGGUUUUUGAGGCAUCCUUCUCCUUGCAAGGCCUUGCAAUAAACAUUCCUCUGC